GCCUGUGAGGGUGGAGCUUGUGACGCUGUCGCCCAGGUCUCCGGCGCUUCUUUACUCAUUCCGUUGGCUGCUGCUCCUGCUGGAAAACUGUGGCGAGGUCUGCGGGGAACCGCACCUAUGGCUUCCGUGCUGUCCUACGAAAGCCUGGUCCACGCCGUGGCAGGAGCCGUGGGAAGCAUGACAGCAAUGACAGUAUUUUUUCCCUUGGAUACAGCUCGACUUCGACUACAAGUUGAUGAGAAAAGAAAGUCCAAAACAACACACAUGGUGCUCCUGGAGAUCAUUAAAGAAGAAGGCCUCCUGGCACCGUAUCGAGGGUGGUUUCCAGUUAUCUCCAGUCUCUGCUGCUCCAAUUUUGUCUAUUUCUACACUUUUAAUAGCCUCAAAGCAGUCUGGGUCAAAGGUCAACACUCUACUACUGGAAAAGAUCUAGUAGUUGGAUUUGUUGCAGGGGUAGUGAACGUGCUGCUAACAACUCCACUCUGGGUGGUAAACACCAGGCUGAAGCUGCAGGGGGCAAAAUUUAGAAAUGAAGACAUUGUACCAACCAACUACAGUGGUAUUAUUGAUGCUUUUCACCAGAUCAUUCGGGAUGAAGGAAUCUCGGCUUUAUGGAAUGGCACAUUUCCUUCCUUGCUGCUGGUCUUCAAUCCUGCCAUCCAAUUCAUGUUCUAUGAAGGUUUAAAACGGCAGCUUUUAAAGAAACAAAUGAAGCUUUCUUCUUUGGAUGUGUUCAUCAUUGGUGCACUAGCCAAAGCAAUUGCCACCACGGUCACCUAUCCCAUGCAGACGGUACAGUCAAUCCUGAGGUUUGGACGUCACAGACUAAACCCAGAAAACAGAACACUGGGGAGUCUUCGGAACAUUCUCUAUCUUCUUCACCAGCGAGUAAGCAGGCGCACACCUGUCCACCACGGCGUGGCUCCCAGGAGAGCACUGGGCUUGCUGGCGGACAGGGGGAGACUGGCCCUGUGCCUGGCCGCUGGCAGGAGGAAGGCUGUGGAAUCAACAGGCCUCAGUUUCCAGCCUGGUUCUGCUCCAUUUACGUGUGAGUAACUUCAACCAUGUUAGUCCAUAUUCCUGACCCUCCAUUUCAACAUCUGCAAAAUGAAAGAAGCCACUCUCCUCCCAAAAAGUCACAGGAAUAUGUCUACUUCAUCAGAGCUGAUGGGAGACAGAGAAACAUGGGUGGGGGGUUCUGGAAGGAAAAGUUUCUCUCCUCCAUGUGGUCUUGAACAAGGAAACACGUGAGCCCAGGAGCAGCUGACAGCCCUUCAGACCGUAAGGGAAGAGCCUGCCUGGGAGUGGAGCCAGUCCUCACGCCUCACCUGGAGCCAGAGCUGCCCUGGACCAUUCGUCUAAGGGAGACAAUAGACCUGCUUUGUUAGUUCAGACAGCUCGAGAUGAGUUUUCUGUUUCUUGCAACAUCAUUAAGUCCUAAUUGAUCAUAGCAGGUUGAAUGGUGGUCCUGCAAAUGAUAGGUCCACAGCUAAACCCCUGGAAUCUGUGAAUGUGACCUUAUUUGGGAAAAGGGUCUUUGCAGAUGUAAUUGAGUUAAAGGGUUAUCCAGGCAGGUCUUAAAUCCAGUGACGUGUGUCCUUAUAAGAGACACACAGAGGAGAGACACAGAAAGAUGGAUACAGAGAUUGGAGUUGUGCAGCCAGGGUGCACCCGGAGCUGCCAGAAGCCGAAGAGGCAAGUCUCCCCAGAGAGAGCACAGCCCUGCCAGCACCCUGAUUUUGGACUCUGGCCUCCAGAACCACAGGAGAAUAAAUAUCAGUUGUUUUAAAC